rnacentral:siRNA from 1 species
GAUGAAUCAGACAAUGCUGCUGC